CAGUCGCCACGGUAAUACGUAGGGUGCAAGCGUUAAUCGGAACUACUGGGCGUAAAGCGUGCGCAGGCGGUUCGCUAAGACAGAUGUGAAAUCCCCGGGCUUAACCUGGGAACUGCAUUUGUGACUGGCGGGCUAGAGUAUGGCAGAGGGGGGUAGAAUUCCACGUGUAGCGGUGAAAUGCGUAGAGAUGUGGAGGAAUACCGAUGGCGAAGGCAGCCCCCUGGGCCAAUACUGACGCUCAUGCACGAGAGCGUGGGGAGCAAACAGGAUUAGAUACCCGAGUAGUCCCUGUCUCUUAUAC
rnacentral:rRNA from 1 species